UACGUAGGGUGCAAGCGUUAAUCGGAAUUACUGGGCGUAAAGCGUGCGCAGGCGGUUUUGUAAGUCUGAUGUGAAAUCCCCGGGCUCAACCUGGGAAUUGCAUUGGAGACUGCAAGGCUGGAGUCUGGCAGAGGGGGGUAGAAUUCCACGUGUAGCAGUGAAAUGCGUAGAGAUGUGGAGGAACACCUAUGGCGAAGGCAGCCCCCUGGGUCAAGACUGACGCUCAUGCACGAAAGCGUGGGGAGCAAACAGG
rnacentral:rRNA from 1 species